CAGCCGUAAACGAUGUGCGUUAGGUGUAUCGACGACCACGAGUCGUCGAGGUGCCGAAGGGAAACCGUGAAACGUACCGCCUGGGAAGUACGGUCGCAAGGCUGAAACUUAAAGGAAUUGGCGGGGGAGCACCACAACAGGUGGAGCCUGCGGUUUAAUUGGACUCAACGCCGGAAAUCUCACCGGAUAAGACAGCGGAAUGAUUGCCGGGCUGAAGACUCUGCAUGACUAGCUGAGAGGAGGUGCAUGGCGUAGUCGUGU
rnacentral:rRNA from 1 species